GAUGAAGAACGGAGCGAAAUGCGAUAAGUAAUGUGAAUUGCAGAAUUCAGUGAAUCAUCGAAUCUUUGAACGCACAUUGCGCCCCUUGGUAUCCCGAGGGGCAUGCCUGUUCGAGCGUCAUUUCACCACUCAAGCCUGGCUUGGUGUUGGGCGACGUCCCCUUUGGGGACGCGCCUCGAAACGCUCGGCGGCGUGGCACCGGCUUUAAGCGUAGCAGAAUCUUUCGCUUUGGAAGUCGGGGCCCCGUCUGCCGGAAGACCUACUCGCAAGGUUGACCUCGGAUCAGUCAGGGAUACCCGCUGAACUUAAGCAUAUCAAUAAGCGGAGG
rnacentral:misc_RNA from 1 species